UGGAAGAGCAAGGUGAAAGGGCAAUUAUAGCUCACUGGAUGGGAUUUCAGGAGAGUUUAAGGAUGACCUGAAGACCCGUGCCUCUUACUGUGUUUCUGCUGGUACAGUUGGCCUACAGAGUCUGGUUCUGCUAAGGAAGCUUGUGGCUUAUCUUCUGAGGAGUGUUUAGGAACCAUUUUAAUGAAUUCCAAUUAAGAGUCUUUCUGACACCGGGGGAUGCAGAGGUCAAAGAAUGUCCUGAGCAGCACAGUAACAGACCAUGUGGAGCACAGAUAAAGCCUUUUGCAGAACAGUGUUUGUCCAUCACUUGGGAACCAAAAUGAGCAGAGAAUCCCUUGAGAAUCAUCAGAAUAAACUGUGGAUGCAGCCCAUGGAGAAGCCAGAGCUGAACUCGAGUUCUGAACUGUCUCAUGAAAGAGGAAUCUGCUUCAGAACCGAUACAAAAUAUGCAUGAGGUACAUUUCAAACUGGACUGGAGAGUGAGGAAAAAGGCCUCUCACCUGCCCAACUACUUGAAACCCCUUUUCAGAAACAAACAAACAAACAAAAACCCAAAGAGAACAAAGAAAAGAAAACAAAGAGACAAACAGAAGGAGCGCGAGGCUGGGGGUGUGCUGUGGGAAAGAGGUACUCACUUAGUAAUGCAGGGUUGCUGAACCGCCAGGCCUCGUUGUAGGUCGUGUACUGAGGGUGGCUGUAGGGAUUCCCUGAGAACUCGCUCCCUGGAAGAAACCAAGGAAGGUGUGAAAUAUAGUAAGGAAUAAAGAUUAAUGUCUGCUAUUCCAUCAGGACAGUGUUCAUGCUGAAUCCAUUUGCCAGCAGGAAAACUGGUGUAUGUAGCUUCCUUGCCUAGCUGGAACUCUUCCCUUCAAGACACUUCCGUGCCUGUUCAGUGCAAAAUUGCUUACCCAUACCAUUAAGCAUCACAAGAUUGACUUCUUCACAAUCAAGAAAUCAGUUCAAAUUCACUAAUACAAAUAAAUUAUUUAAUUGGGAUGGGUUUUUUCCCUUUUUUUUAUUGCCUUCUGUCUUCCAAUUCUCAAGCUGCAGUAGGACAGCAUAUGCAAGCUUUUAUGCCUUUAAUUAUCAGCUUUCUUAUUAAUAACAUCAAAGGUUCUCCAGUAGUGUCAAGACAGCAGGCAUGGAAGGUUAAUGGGACAAGCUCACAAGAAACUCUUUGGAACUAGCAGUGCUGUUGAUAGCAAUAUGUAUUGCUAAAUUUUUUU